UCGAUCUAAAAAUAAAAUUUAAGUGUGGCAGGGUAUAUGACUCAUUAGCAAACUAACCCAAAAACAAGAAAAUUGGGGUGAUCCCUGCAUUAAAAUUACAGCAUUAGACUUUGGAUAUUUAUAUCAGGUCUUUAAUAACAUAUGGCACCAUAACAUCUGAGUGAAAGGUUUGUGAUCAAAUAGAAAGAGAUUCCAGGAAGAACUAAUAUCCCAGAGAAAUACAGGUCUGCUACCAGACACUUGCAGCAACUCAGUAUUGCCCUCUUGUGCUUCAAAACCAUUCAUGCAAAGGAACCGGACACCGAGGAACUGAUCUUACCUGCCACAAUAACUCAGCAGAGGUUUAAACAUUCACACUGAAGCCAUAUCAGUAAAGUCUAUCAGGAUCUGGAGCAUUCCCAAGCAGUGUAAUGUGAACACUCAUCACAGCAAACCACGAGCAUGUUCCCUUGGCAUGAUUUUGAACUGUGCCACCCAACAUUUAGCCCAGCAGAUGCUGGCUUGGACUUCUCCCCAGCAGGAUGCUUGGUGUAGCCACUCUGCAUAAAGCAUUUACCAGGCUGGGCAUGAGCUGCUCUGUGCCUGCUGGCUUCAACACUCAAGGAUGUUUCUGGGCAUAUUUAAUUGGCUAGCUUGGAUAUAUCUCCAGUCAAUGCACCUUAACAAUAGAAUCUGUUGCUUUCAUGUUUCAUAGUUAAAGAGAGUUGUCAGGGGAAGGACCAGAGAGGCAGACAGACUGAGUCAGGGCAAACCAAAACAGCCAUAAGGCAGCCUAUAAAAUGCUACCCAAAACAGCAAACAAAUUAGUCCCAAAAUACUGGGGACUUUUAGCAGCAUUCUCACUGCAUUCCUAUACUUCCACAGGAGAUAAGCAACAUGGUAAAAAACAGCUCUCUGUCAUUGGGGUGCAUCCCUUCCCUGAAAAUGUCAAGUUUUGCUUGCAAAAGGAGCCCUGUUAAUUGAGCUAGCCUGUUCCUGUCUGUAUUGAAACUGGAUGCAAGCCUUGAGGUUGCUAGGCCCCCUGAGACACAGCUGAGAUUGAAAGAAAACUCAAACAGGCACUGAUUUCAUAUCUUCUAACUGAGCCAGGAAAAGCUUAGUAAGGAAUCUUCCUCCUGGACACUGGGUCAUAGCUGGGGCAGUUCCUGAUACAACCAGUUGCUUAAAUGGAAAGCUGCAACUGCUGCUGCAUGCUCUUUUCCAGUGCUCUGGAAGGGGCAAGACAGCCAUCAUGUCUUGCUGAUUUAGAGUGGACACUGGCUUGAAAAAACACAUUUUGCCUUCUAUUUCGUGAGCCUAGCAGUAAGGAUCUUCAGCAAGGAAAUAAAGAUGUUCCAUGCUUCAUUCUAAACCAGAUGGAACCUUUUACCAUUACAGAAUCACUUGUUUUGCUGCUUGCUUGAUUGAAAAUAUGUAACAAAAUACCUGGUAAAACUUUGUCCUGGGAGGUGAUCAGCAACCUCAGCUUCCUCUGACAUGGAACAAACAGCUGCCAUUUCAGAGUGUCUAUAGAUCCAGUAGCAUCUUGAGCAGUUAAAAUUAAUCCUACUUCUAACACUUCUUACUCUUCCUCAUGCUCACUCUACACCUCAUUUCUAAUUCCCGUUUUUCUUUUUCUGUAUUUCCUCCUCUUUUCACAGUAACAUUAUUUGCUUGUUCAGACUCUGAGUUUCACUCCAUUCCUUUCCUUUGAGUACAUCCACACCUCCCACAACAACUGUAUUGUAGCACCUACUAUGUUUUGUAUCUCUGUUCUUUCAGCCAUAAUAUUGGGGUACUUGAAAUACAAAGAAACAAAAACAUCCUCCAGGGUUACCAGGCAGAGCACUGUACAGAACUCCAGGCAUUGUAGUAACCCUUAGCUACUUGUAAUUAUUCCCUGCCUCCACCAGAGCAACAUCCAACACAAAUCCUGCGUCCUUGUUGUCCCACACUGUUUCUGCUCUCACAGACUGCCAGGAAUGGGAAUGCUGCCAUCACCCUCCUGCCUCACUUCACUCACACCCAGCAGAACUGUGAUGUGACUGAGGUAAGUCAGACCCUAAAAGAGUCUGCAAAAUCUGGCACUGCUGGAUGCUCUAUCUGGCAGUCUGUCUGCAUGCCAGCACGAGGAUUUUGCUUGAAGUGCUUGUGGUAAAAAAAGUCAGGACCCAUUUGGUAAUAACAUGGACUUUAAAGGACCUGAUUUAAAGUUUAAAGGAAACUAUUUUGCUCCCAGCCCCUUCUUCUCACUUAGUUCAGCAACUGCAGUUUCUGCUGUGUAGUUACUAGAAUACAAAAACAAUAGUUAAAAUCAAGGUUAUGACCAUACAAGUUUUGUUACACAGACGCAACGAAAAUUUUGGGUUCAUGGUUUUCACCUUACGUAUAACACUUUUAAUAACAAUAUUUGCAAUAUCACAAAAGUCCUUGACUGAAGAACACUAAAUAUUCAUGAAAAAUACCAUCUUCCUAGUGCUUAAUGUCUUACUAAUUUGUACUAGGAGUCAUGGAAUACCUAUGUUGGCUUGUCAAACCAGUAUCAUUUUCCAUUCUUCACGGAUAUCUGAUAUUUCAGGCAUUAACACUGAUACAGCUACAAUUGUGGUUAAGACUUGUGCUGUGCUGCCACCUUCUGAUACAAGAUAAUCAGCCAUUAAUAAACCCAUUUCUGAUACAGCCCUGCAAUAUGAACCUAGGAAUAAUUAGACAGUAAGUUUUUGUUCAUUGUCUGUACCCGUACUACACAAAAAUUAAUGUGAAAUUGUGCAUUUACUACAUUAAAUAUACUUUUGGAUGUC